rnacentral:rRNA from 1 species
UACGGGGGGUGCGAGCGUUGUCCGGAAUCACUGGGCGUAAAGGGCGCGUAGGUGGUUUGAUAAGGGUGUGGUGAAAGUCCGGGGCUCAACCCCGGAUCUGCCGUGCCGACUGUCAAACUCGAGGACUGUAGAGGCAGACGGAAUUCCGGGUGUAGCGGUGAAAUGCGUUGAUAUCAGGAGGAACACCCAUGGCGAAGGCAGCAAACUGGUCAUCAACUGACGCUGAGGCGCGAAAGCGUGGGUAGCAAACAGG